GCAUCUGUAGUGAUUUGGUAAACACGUUUGGCUUCCAACCAAAAAAUGUCAGUUCGAUUCCGACCAGAUGCUCCA
rnacentral:tRNA from 2 species